rnacentral:rRNA from 1 species
AGAGUUUGAUCCUGGCUCAGGAUGAACGCUCUUUACAGGCCUAACACAUGCAAGUCGAGGGGCAUCGGGGCGAGGAGCAAUCCUUGCCGCCGGCGACCGGCGCACGGGUGAGUAACGCGUAUGCGACCUGCCCGUUGCAGGGGGAUAAUCGGGAGAAAUCCCGUCUAAUACCGCGUAACGCCGCGGGGCUGCAUGGCCCUGCGGCCAAAGGAAGCGAUUCCGGCAACGGAUGGGCAUGCGUGACAUUAGCUAGUUGGCGGGGCAACGGCCCACCAAGGCGACGAUGUCUAGGGGUUCUGAGAGGAAGGUCCCCCACACUGGUACUGAGACACGGACCAGACUCCUACGGGAGGCAGCAGUGAGGAAUAUUGGUCAAUGGGCGCGAGCCUGAACCAGCCAAGUCGCGUGAGGGAUGACGGCCCUACGGGUUGUAAACCUCUUUUGUCGGGGAGCAAAUUCCGCCACGUGUGGCGGAGUCGAGAGUACCCGAAGAAAAAGCAUCGGCUAACUCCGUGCCAGCAGCCGCGGUAAUACGGAGGAUGCGAGCGUUAUCCGGAUUUAUUGGGUUUAAAGGGUGCGUAGGCGGACUGUCAAGUCAGCGGUAAAAUACGGGGGCUCAACCUCCGCCCGCCGUUGAAACUGACGGUCUUGAGUGGGCGAGAAGUAUGCGGAAUGCGUGGUGUAGCGGUGAAAUGCAUAGAUAUCACGCAGAACUCCGAUUGCGAAGGCAGCAUACCGGCGCCCAACUGACGCUGAAGCACGAAAGCGUGGGUAUCGAACAGGAUUAGAUACCCUGGUAGUCCACGCAGUAAACGAUGAAUACUAGCUGUCCGGGGCGAAUGAGCCCUGGGUGGCACAGCGAAAAGCGUUAAGUAUUCCACCUGGGGAGUACGCCGGCAACGGUGAAACUCAAAGGAAUUGACGGGGGCCCGCACAAGCGGAGGAACAUGUGGUUUAAUUCGAUGAUACGCGAGGAACCUUACCCGGGCUCAAACGACACAGGAACGGUCCUGAAAGGGGUCGGCUCUACGGAGCCUGUGUCGAGGUGCUGCAUGGUUGUCGUCAGCUCGUGCCGUGAGGUGUCGGCUUAAGUGCCAUAACGAGCGCAACCCCCAUCGACAGUUGCUAACAGGUCAGGCUGAGGACUCUGUCGAGACUGCCGGCGCAAGCUGCGAGGAAGGCGGGGAUGACGUCAAAUCAGCACGGCCCUUACGUCCGGGGCGACACACGUGUUACAAUGGCAGGUACAGCGGGAAGCCACCUGGCGACAGGGAGCGGAACCCGAAAGCCUGUCUCAGUUCGGAUUGGAGUCUGCAACCCGACUCCAUGAAGCUGGAUUCGCUAGUAAUCGCGCAUCAGCCACGGCGCGGUGAAUACGUUCCCGGGCCUUGUACACACCGCCCGUCA